rnacentral:lncRNA from 1 species
UGGCUUCUUGUGAUUGGCCAGAACUUUUCCUCGCUAGAAAGAUGAGGAGAAUCUGCCUCCUCCAACCAGCUGGAAGAAAACACUCUGCAGAAGCACAGAUGUGAUGGCUGUUCCACCUCCCUCUGAUGGGGGACAGGGGAGUCAGGCAGGGACUCAACAGGUUGAAUGAUGCCAGGGACCCCCCAAGCGUCUUUACACUUGACCACAGGAGUGGUGGCAUCUGACAGGGUAGCUAACCUUGUACCUUUCAUUCUGUAAUUCGGGGUGUUUCAUAAAAUGGGUUCUUUGGCU